UCUUCCGAUCUGAUGCUUUAAAACCUUUUAGAACACCUCGCCCUUUCUUCUUCUGUCCACCAGCUUCUACAGCCCAAAUCAUACAAGAAAAAUUGUAUUACUCGGUAUUAGAUUGUAAGAAAUGAUGACACAAAUGUAAACGAAAGCAAGUACCAUCCUGUAGUAGUGCACGGUUGCGGCGAGCAUGGGAUGGCCAUUCAGCAAGGGAACACAUGUCAGUAGCAGACACUGGAGUGUCAGAUUGUUCUGGAGUUCCUGUAAAAGAUUUAGUAGUCUUGAAGGUUUAGCUAUUUAACCCACACCAAGAUUUUAUGCAUUAUAGCAAAUGCUAAACAAUUUACCAGAUCUGGGUUGUCCACGUUGGUUUUUGUAUGCCGUUAUACUUUCCAUCCUUGUUAAGAGAAC